AUCACUUCUCGGCCUUUUGGCUGAGAUCAAGUGUAGUACAGGCAACCAAACCAAUCAUUUAUAAUGUUGAACUCUAUCAUCUACUUUUUAUUUUAAGAUUUUAUUUAUUUAUUUGAGAGAGAGAGAUU
rnacentral:snRNA from 2 species